UUGCAAGCCUUCCAGCAUGCGUGAGUUUGUUGACUUGGUGCCUUCUGGCAGGCUUGCUAGAAUGUUCUGGGGUGGUUUGAGGCUCUGCUCUGUCCCCUUGUAGGGCAUGGUUGUAGAUAUUUCACAGUC
rnacentral:snoRNA from 1 species